CCGAGUUUACAACUCCCAAACCCCAUGUGAACCUUACCUAUACGUUGCUUCGGCGGUCACGCCCCGGCGCCCUCUGCGGCCCGGACCAAGGCGCCCGCCGGAGGACCACCAAACCAUUGUGUUAUCUAGUGGCAUUGUCUGAGUGGCGUAAAGCAAAAUAAAUCA
rnacentral:misc_RNA from 1 species